UGAAUACGAGACGCUAAGGCGUCGAAGUAGUGUAUGUCAUACUUCCAAGAAAAGCUUGCACUGUCAUAAGUAAAAAAUGCCUGUACCAUAACCGACACAGGUGGGUAGGUAGAGUAUACUAAGGGGCGCGAGAUAACUCUCUCUAAGGAACUCGGCAAAAUAACUCCGUAACUUCGGGAGAAGGAGUACCUUAUUCUAUAAGGUUGCAAUAACAAGAUCCAAGCAACUGUUUAUCAAAAACACAGGUCUCCGCUAAGUCGUAAGACGAUGUAUGGGGGCUGACGCCUGCCCAGUGCCAGAAGGUUAAAGAAGUCGGUUAGCAUUAGCGAAGCUGGUAACUGAAGCCCUGGUGAACGGCGGCCGUAACGAUAACGGUCCUAAGGUAGCGAAAUUCCUUGUCGGGUAAGUUCCGACCCGCACGAAAGGCGUAAUGAUUUGGAUACUGUCUCGGAGAGGGGCUCGGUGAAAUAGACUUGUCUGUGAAGAUGCGGACUACCUGCACCAGGACAGAAAGACCCUAUGAAGCUUUACUGUAACUUGAAAUUGAAAUUGGACUUUAUUCGCGCAGUAUAGGUGGGAGGUGUUGAUUAUAAUCUUGCGGGAUUAUUGGAGCCAUCAGUGAGAUACCACUCUUGUAAUGUUAGAUUUCUAACUUUGAAUCAUUAUCUGGUCAAAGGACAGUUUCAGGCGGGCAGUUUGACUGGGGCGGUCGCCUCCCAAACGGUAACGGAGGCGUACAAAGGUUUCCUCUGAACGGGUAGAAAUCGUAUCUAGAGUGUAAAGGCAUAAGGAAGCUUGACUGUGAGACCUACAAGUCGAACAGGGACGAAAGUCGGUCUUAGUGAUCUGACGGUACUGAGUGGAAAGGCCGUCACUCAACGGAUAAAAGUUACUCUAGGAUAACAGGCUGAUCUCCCCCAAGAGUUCACAUCGACGGGGAGGUUUGGCACCUCGAUGUCGGCUCAUCGCAUCCUGGGGCGGUAGUACGUCCCAAGGGUUGGGCUGUUCGCCCAUGAAAGCGGUACGCGAGCUGGGUUCAGAACGUCGUGAGACAGUUCGGUCCAUAUCCGGUGUAGGCGUUAGAAUAUUGAGAGGAGCCUUCUUUAGUACGAGAGGACCGAGAAGGACAUACCUCUGGUGUACCAGUUAUCGUGCCAACGGUAAACGCUGGGUAGCUAUGUAUGGAGUGGAUAACCGCUGAAAGCAUCUAAGUGGGAAGCCCACCUCAAGAUAAG
rnacentral:rRNA from 1 species